rnacentral:lncRNA from 1 species
GUACUGACAAUGAGAUUUUGCUCGUCGGUAUGAGAUCAAUGGAAUAAGGUAGAAAAAAAAAAAACUGCUUUCACAUUCGUGCGGCUUUUCUCCGCAUUUAAUUAUCCGUAUUUCAGCAGCUGGAGCCUUCGUUUAUUAGCUUUCAACCUGCGCGCAUCACUUGGCUCCACGUGAUCACACCCAAGAGCCCGCUUCAACUUCAGCCGCACGAAGCCACGUGAAGCCACUCUUUGCAAGUCACUGCCACC